GGUUCAAAUGCUCAGUGAUGUUCCAGAAGGAAAAACCAUGCAUUAAGAGCCGGGGGGUGAAAAAAAUCCCAGGAUGGCGACGACGAUGACCGUACUUUAUCACAAUCAUCAUCUUCCGGUCACCACUCAGACUCUUCCUCGAGGUCUAGCUCGUCCAAUGCAACGGUAACACACGGCCCCAGUUCUGACCGUCACUUGAAGGAGGUUGCAAUACAGACUCAGGCAGAUGGACUAACUUACACAUGGUCUUCUGGUAGGUUUACAUUAUCUGAUACUUCAGGCCAGCCAGACUCUAUUCUUUUGGGGUGUACCUCAGGGUUAUAGUUUAGGACCACUUUGUUCUUGUUCUGCGAAAAAUGUAUUUGGGACAAGAACACGCCCAAAUCAUAUUUCAUAUUAAAAUCAAAAUAUAUAUAUAUUUUUUAUUUGUUUGUUUGCAUUUUUACACUAUUUUCAUGACAUUUAAGCACAUUUUGCUCCAAACUCCCAUUACCGUAAUGCAAAAAACCUGGAAAGACCUGGACAUGUUUUUGUGAGAUCCACCCAUUUAUGUUGUCAAUUGUUUCAGGCAAGGCUGCCAUUGGUCCAUCACUGGGCAUGACGUACAUGGACCCCACCCCAAUAGCCAGUCACACAGUCAGCGCUGAAACCAUCGAGAGUGAGUAUACAAUAUGAACUACACGCUUUACGUCUGAAUAACCCUGAACCUAGGAAACAUGAAUAUCUCAAGUUUGACGGCAUACAGUCCCGCUGUUUUUGCACUCAACGAUGUUGCUGCAGCAGUUAGAUCUCACUAGAGCAUUCAUCGACUCCACCAGACGUCACUACACGUCAUUGAUUGAGUCACUGGGACCUGCUGAUUACAAAUACACCACACUAGAGGAUACUAAAGAGUUUAUUCACGCUCACAGGCCGCCCAAACUGAGUAUUGAAGACGCUUUAGAGGAA